rnacentral:rRNA from 1 species
AGAAUCAACGCUGGCGGCGUGCCCCAGACAUGCAAGUCGAACGCGAAAGUCCCCUUCGGGGGACAAGUAGAGUGGCGCACGGGUGAGUAACACGUAGGUAAUCUACCUUCGGAUGGGGAAUAACAAUCGGAAACGAUUGCUAAUACCGCAUAAUGCAGCGGCACCUAAUGGUGACAGUUGUUAAAGCGGGGGAUCGAAAGACCUCGCGUCUGAAGAGGAGCCUGCGGCGGAUUAGCUAGUUGGUAAGGUAAUGGCUUACCAAGGCUACGAUCC